rnacentral:rRNA from 1 species
UACGUAGGGGGCAAGCGUUGUCCGGAUUUAUUGGGCGUAAAGAGCGUGUAGGCGGCUUGACAGGUCUGCUGUGAAAACUCGAGGCUCAACCUCGAGAUGUCGGCGGAAACCGUCUGGCUAGAGUCCGGAAGAGGAGACUGGAAUUCCUGGUGUAGCGGUGAAAUGCGCAGAUAUCAGGAGGAACACCGGUGGCGAAGGCGGCUACCUGGACCGGUUCUGACGCUGAGGCGCGAAAGCGUGGGGAGCAAACAGG